GCCCGGUUAGCACAGUCGGUAGAGCACCAGACUCUUAAUCUGGCUGUCGCGGGUUCGAGCCCCGCCGCAUCGGGCU
rnacentral:tRNA from 1 species